CACGCCACUGCCGCAUACAAAUGGCACGUAUACGUACAAAUGGCAAUAGACAUAACCUGAAAUUAGUUGCGAUGUGACACGUUUCAUUAAUUUUAUUCAUUAACAGUUUAACAUCAUUCUCCAUAAGUUAUAAACAAUAUUUCAAACAUCCACCAUCAAUUAUCCAAAUUGAACGCUACGGCCUGACGUUCACAUUUAGUCGAAAUCGAUCGCCAAGAAGAAGAAUUGAUCAACUUUUUGAAUAUUUAUAAUUCCAGCUCAAAGAAAACUACAACUUGGACCACUUCAAAAUGAGAGGACUCUGAAAAUGAU